rnacentral:rRNA from 1 species
CAGCCGUAAACAAUGUGCGUUAGGUGUGUCGGUAACCACGCGUUACUGAUGCGCCGAAGAGAAAUCGUGAAACGCACCACCUGGGAAGUACGGUCGCAAGGCUGAAACUUAAAGGAAUUGGCGGGGGAGCACCACAACAGGUGGAGCCUGCGGUUUAAUUGGAUUCAACGCCGGACAUCUCACCGGAUAAGACAGCUGAAUGAUUGUCAAUCUGAAGGUUUUACAUGACUAGCUGAGAGGAGGUGCAUGGCGUGUGACUGU